rnacentral:tRNA from 1 species
ACCUGGCUAGCUCAGUUAGUAGAGCAUGGGACUUGUGAUCUCAGGGUUGUAAGUUCAAGUUCCAUGUUGGGUG